rnacentral:lncRNA from 1 species
UGAGUAGUUAUUGUUGCAAACUCCAUUAGAAAUUUGAAUUGAGAUCAGUUUUGGAAAAAGGGAAAGGGGGAUGUGAAAAAAAAAUGGGGGGGGGGGGGGUUAAAUUUUUUCUCAUUUCAGAUUUCAUAAAUAAAAAGAAAAUUUCUUCAAACAUUUUUUUUUUUGAGAGGAUUAAUAUUCAACAGCAUAGUGAAUUGCUCAAAGGCAAAAAAAAAAAUUUAAGUUCAUUAGACCACAUUCAUUCUGUUUCAGAAACCUAUGCUGUGUCAACUAUUUAAUCACAAUCCAAAUUUAGAGCUGUAUCCAGCUUGAAUGUUGUGUCCAUACUUGCCCCAACCGUUCAGGGUUCAACCUCUGCGGUCGUAUAAAGCUGCGCCCUGCGGAGCAUCUGGUUGUAGU